UGGCUUCAAGAAGGUUCUAACACCAUUAAGACUGAAGAGUUGAUGACCUAAAACCCUCAGGUGGACUGAAACCCUCUGGACAGGAAAGCUGACUUCACUAACAAUACCUGUAGGACAACUUUACAAGGAUGAGAAAUAUAACACCGAGGAAGUACCAAUAAGUUCUACAUCCGCUAUAGGAUCAGAGGUAUAAAAAAUCCAAGGAAUGUCCUGAAGUGGCUCUGUCCUAUCCAGCUAUUAAAGACAUAUAGGAAUCCCAA